AGCUUAAAGAAAAUAUUUUAAGUUUAACCUGCCCUGUGAUUAUUUUAACGGCUGCGGUACUUUGACCGUACUAAGGUAGCAUAAUCAAUUGGCUUUUAAAUGGAGUCUGGAAUGAACGGGAAUUUGGAGUUAAACUUUCUUAAACAAAUUUUUUUGAAUUUACUAUGAAAGUGAAAAAGCUUUCAAUUGAAAAAAGACGAGAAGACCCUUGGAGUUUAUAGUGAUUUUGUUGGGGCGACAUAAAAAAGUUAACUUUUUUAUACUUUAUAUCAACUUUUAGUUUUUAUAAACAAACUACCCAAGGGAUAACAGCAUAAUUCUUAAGAGAUUGUGACCUCGAUGUUGGACUAGGAAAAGUCUUAACUAACAGUUAAGACUUUAUGUUCUGUUCGAACUUUAUUCUCCU
rnacentral:rRNA from 1 species